CCUACCUACGGGACGCAGCAGUGGGGAAUAUUGGGCAAUGGGCGCAAGCCUGACCCAGCAACGCCGCGUGAAGGAAGAAGGCUUUCGGGUUGUAAACUUCUUUUCUCAGGGACGAAGAAAGUGACGGUACCUGAGGAAUAAGCCACGGCUAACUACGUGCCAGCAGCCGCGGUAAUACGUAGGUGGCAAGCGUUAUCCGGAUUUACUGGGUGUAAAGGGCGUGUAGGCGGGACUGCAAGUCAGAUGUGAAAAUUAUGGGCUCAACCCAUAACCUGCAUUUGGAACUGUAGUUCUUGAGUGAUGGG
rnacentral:rRNA from 1 species